rnacentral:misc_RNA from 1 species
GGAAGGAUCAUUAGUGGGAAAAAUAAACUCAGAGUGUCAGGAGUAAAACCCUGCCUCUGUUUUCAAACCGUGAAAUGUUAAAGUCUUUGACCUUACAGGGUUCAUUCUCUGUUUUGGUCAAUUAACCUACCUCUUACACACUGUCUUAUCCAAUUACAGAGUUUAUUCUCUGUUAACCUAAAAACAACUUUUAGCAAUGGAUAUCUCGGCUCCCGUAUCGAUGAAGAGCGCAGCAAAGUGCGAUAAUUAAUGUGAAUUGCAGAACUCAGCGAAUCAUCGAAAUCUUGAACGCAUCUUGCACCCAAGGGGAACCUUGGGUAUGUCUGUUGGAGUGUCGGUUCAUCAUAUCAAAACCCAACUUUUGUUGGGAUUUGGAGAAUGCCAGUUCGAGUUUAACCUCGUUCCGGUUAAAGGUAGCAACAGGUCAGGAUCUUAACUAGAUUCCCUUCAGACCUUCACUUUUGGCGUUGUAGGUGUCAAAACCCUCGCUCUUUGAAGUGAAUUGGUACAUUGUAGGAUCAAUAUAAAGACCUCCUAACAUUACUGUUCUCUGGAUAGUGUGAGAAACCUAUUCAUUUAACCUUAAACCAUCGACCUCCAAUCAGUCAUGAUCACCCCCUGAACUUAAGCAUAUCAAUAAGGGGAGGAAAAGAAAAUAACAAUGAUUCCCUCAGUAACGGCGAGUGAAGCGGGAAUAGCUCAAGCUCUUAAUCGGAGGUGUUUACACCCUCGAAUUGUAGUUUUGAGAGAGGAUCUAAAGGUUGGGUCGGAGACCAAGUCUGUUGGAAAACAGCACCAUAGAGGGUGACAGUCCCGUUCGUCUCUGAUCCCUUCUGUAUAUUUCCUCUUCUUAGAGUCGGGUUGUUUGGGAGUACAGCCCUAAAUAGGUGGUAAGUUCCAUCUAAAGCUAAAUACGGGCGGGAGACCGAUAGCAAACAAGUACCGCGAGGGAAAGAUGAAAAGAACUUUGAAAAGAGAGUCAAAAGGACUUGAAAUUGCUAAAGAGAAGCGAUUGAUACUAUCUUGAGGGGGGUGGACAUUCAGUUUCAAGGAAGUGGAAACAGGGCAGUUGAAUGAGGGAUACCUUUUCACUGCUUUGUCUAAGCUUCUUUGGGGUGCACUUGUUCAUUCUCCGAACCAUCUUGGCUUGGCUUUUGGUUAGAAUAGUGGGAGGGAGGUACUCUGGUCGAGGCUAGGGGAAUACCUUCUACAAGAUGACCAGAAGCCGAGUGAGGGCUGAAUCUUCAGCAAAUGGUGUGCUUAGCGGAGUAAAGGGGUUGACAUAUGGGAUUUGGUUGGUGGAGUACAUGUACUGCAUUGAUCAAAUUUUGUAUCCUCGCUUCUGUCUUCCAACAUCAUAAUGAAGAUGGUAUGAUGGUAUCAAUUGUCCCGUCUUGAAACACGGACCAAGGAGUCUAACGUAUGUUCGAGUCAUUGAGUGAGUAAAACUCAAAGGCAAAGUGAAAGCAAUACAAUGGAAGGGGUCAAACCCUGCACAUUGAUCAGGCUUGAGGUCAUUGACCAAAGGUCUUAGAUUUAGAACAUGCGUCAGGACCCGAAAGAUUGCGAACUAUGCCUGCAUAGGGUGAAGCCAGGAGAAAUUCUGGUGGAGGCUCGUAGCGGUACUGACGUGCAAAUCGUUCGUCCAAUGUGGGUAUAGCGGCGAAAGACUAAUCGAGCAGUCUAGUAGCUGGUUCCCUC